rnacentral:rRNA from 1 species
AGAGUUUGAUCCUGGCUCAGGAUGAACGCUGGCGGCGUGCCUAACACAUGCAAGUCGAACGAAGCGCCUUUUGAGAUUCUUCGGAUGAUUGAUUGGUGACUGAGUGGCGGACGGGUGAGUAACGCGUGGGUAACCUGCCCUGUACAGGGGGAUAACAGCCGGAAACGGCUGCUAAUACCGCAUAAGCGCACGAGGAGACAUCUUCUUGUGUGAAAAACUCCGGUGGUACAGGAUGGGCCCGCGUCUGAUUAGCUGGUUGGCAGGGUAACGGCCUACCAAGGCAACGAUCAGUAGCCGGUCUGAGAGGAUGAACGGCCACAUUGGAACUGAGACACGGUCCAAACUCCUACGGGAGGCAGCAGUGGGGAAUAUUGCACAAUGGGGGAAACCCUGAUGCAGCAACGCCGCGUGAGUGAAGAAGUAUUUCGGUAUGUAAAGCUCUAUCAGCAGGGAAGAUAAUGACGGUACCUGACUAAGAAGCUCCGGCUAAAUACGUGCCAGCAGCCGCGGUAAUACGUAUGGAGCAAGCGUUAUCCGGAUUUACUGGGUGUAAAGGGUGCGUAGGUGGCAGUGCAAGUCAGAUGUGAAAGGCCGGGGCUCAACCCCGGAGCUGCAUUUGAAACUGCUCGGCUAGAGUACAGGAGAGGCAGGCGGAAUUCCUAGUGUAGCGGUGAAAUGCGUAGAUAUUAGGAGGAACACCAGUGGCGAAGGCGGCCUGCUGGACUGUUACUGACACUGAGGCACGAAAGCGUGGGGAGCAAACAGGAUUAGAUACCCUGGUAGUCCACGCCGUAAACGAUGAAUACUAGGUGUCGGGGCCGUAUAGGCUCCGGUGCCGCCGCUAACGCAGUAAGUAUUCCACCUGGGGAGUACGUUCGCAAGAAUGAAACUCAAAGGAAUUGACGGGGGCCCGCACAAGCGGAGGAACAUGUGGUUUAAUUCGAUGAUACGCGAGGAACCUUACCCGGGCUCGAACGGCACCUGGAUCGCCCAGAGAUGGGCGAGUCUUCGGACAGGUGUCGAGGUGCUGCAUGGUUGUCGUCAGCUCGUGCCGUGAGGUGUCGGCUCAAGUGCCAUAACGAGCGCAACCCCUGCCGCCAGUUGCCAUCAGGUGAUGCUGGGCACUCUGGCGGGACUGCCACCGCAAGGUGUGAGGAGGGGGGGGAUGACGUCAAAUCAGCACGGCCCUUACGUCCGGGGCGACACACGUGUUACAAUGGCGGCCACAGAGGGAAGCUACCCCGCGAGGGGAUGCGGAUCUCGAAAAGCCGUCCCAGUUCGGACUGGAGUCUGCAACCCGACUCCACGAAGUUGGAUUCGCUAGUAAUCGCGCAUCAGCCAUGGCGCGGUGAAUACGUUCCCGGGCCUUGUACACACCGCCCGUCAAGCCAUGGAAGCCGCGGGCGCCUGAAGUCCGUGACCGUAAGGAGCGGCCUAGGGCGAAAGUGGUAACUGGGGCUAAGUCGUAACAAGGUA